rnacentral:rRNA from 1 species
GGGUUGUGAGGUUAAGCGACUAAGCGUACACGGUGGAUGCCCUGGCAGUCAGAGGCGAUGAAGGACGUGCUAAUCUGCGAUAAGCGCCGGUAAGGUGAUAUGAACCGUUAUAACCGGCGAUUUCCGAAUGGGGAAACCCAGUGUGAUUCGUCACACUAUCAUUAACUGAAUCCAUAGGUUAAUGAGGCGAACCGGGGGAACUGAAACAUCUAAGUACCCCGAGGAAAAGAAAUCAACCGAGAUUCCCCCAGUAGCGGCGAGCGAACGGGGAGGAGCCCAGAGCCUGAAUCAGCAUGUGUGUUAGUGGAAGCGUCUGGAAAGGCGCGCGAUACAGGGUGACAGCCCCGUACACAAAAGCGCAUGUGCUGUGAGCUCGAUGAGUAGGGCGGGACACGUGGUAUCCUGUCUGAAUAUGGGGGGACCAUCCUCCAAGGCUAAAUACUCCUGACUGACCGAUAGUGAACCAGUACCGUGAGGGAAAGGCGAAAAGAACCCCGGCGAGGGGAGUGAAAAAGAACCUGAAACCGUGUACGUACAAGCAGUGGGAGCCCCACCACCAAAGCAUUCUCUGGUGUUGAAGGCCCUGCAAAGCAGCAUCGCGGUGGCGGAGCGUCGUUUGCGACGCCCAACACACAAAACAAGCGGUGAGUGCUUUGGGGUGG